rnacentral:rRNA from 1 species
CGAAAGCCUGACGGAGCAACGCCGCGUGAGGGAUGAAGGCCUCUGGGCUGUAAACCUCUUUUCUCAAGGAAGAAGAUCUGACGGUACUUGAUGAAUAAGCCACGGCUAAUUCCGUGCCAGCAGCCGCGGUAAUACGGGAGUGGCAAGCGUUAUCCGGAAUUAUUGGGCGUAAAGCGUCCGCAGGCGGCCUUGUAAGUCUGUCGUUAAAGCGUGGAGCUUAACUCCAUUUCAGCGAUGGAAACUACAAGGCUUGAGUGUGGUAGGGGCAGAGGGAAUUCCCGGUGUAGCGGUGAAAUGCGUAGAUAUCGGGAAGAACACCAGUGGCGAAGGCGCUCUGCUGGGCCAUAACUGACGCUCAUGGACGAAAGCCAGGGGAGCG